rnacentral:rRNA from 1 species
CCUACGGGUGGCUGCAGUGAGGAAUAUUGGUCAAUGGGCGUAAGCCUGAACCAGCCAAGUCGCGUGAGGGAUGAAGGUUCUAUGGAUCGUAAACCUCUUUUAUAAGGGAAUAAAGUGUGGGACGUGUCCUAUUUUGUAUGUACCUUAUGAAUAAGGAUCGGCUAACUCCGUGCCAGCAGCCGCGGUAAUACGGAGGAUCCGAGCGUUAUCCGGAUUUAUUGGGUUUAAAGGGUGCGUAGACGGCCUUUUAAGUCAGCUGUGAAAGUGUGUGGCUCAACCAUAGAAUUGCCGUUGAUACUGGGGGGCUUGAGUAUGGUUGAGGCAGGCGGAAUGCGUGGUGUAGCGGUGAAAUGCUUAGAUAUCACGAAGAACUCCGAUUGCGAAGGCAGCCUGCCAAGCCAUGACUGACGCUGAUGCACGAAAGCGUGGGGAUCAAACAGGAUUAGAUACCCGAGUAGUC